GACAACAUAUUUAUACUUGGCUUACCUCCACACAAAUCGAUUAAAGUUUAGAGUCUAGUAAGAGAUUUUUCGAAAUUAAGGAAAAAUAUUUUUUCUACGUGCUGAGCUCUCUUUUUCCCACGAACCCUAUUUUUCUGACUCUGUGGUGCUGCGCUCUUCUUCUAAAUAGUGGUUCUUUUCCCAGCUCAAAAAUAAGUCUUAUUUCCCAACUGAUUUUUCUCCGAUUUAAAUAUAAAUGACAAAUUGUCACAGGACACGCGCGUCGCUCUCAAUAUGUCCUGUGUUUGUAUCCAUGUCUUUUAGUAGGUCAACAAAGAUUCCUGGUGGAUGCGUUGAACUCUAUUAAUAGAGCUCCCCGUUUUAAGCUGAAAAUCCAAUCUGCGAUUCCAAGAAACCAAUUUAAUUGCCCAUUGUGACAAAAACAAUAAACAAUGGAAAGUCUCUUAGGUAAACUGUUUUUUCCUCCCAAUCUCCAAAGACUGCCCACUGUUUGGCCAUAAAAAUUCCGGUGCAAAUAUUUGUUAACGGAAGCUACCCUACAUAUGUAUAUGUAGUAUAUAGAAUCGGGCUCCCACCGAUUUCCGCAUAAUUGGGGCUCAUGAAUGGAGAGCGGCCUAAUUAAAUUAGUAGGAAAGGUCCCAAACAAAAUUGAAAAAGAGUGCGAACAGCUGCCGAUGUUGACAAUUGUUCCAUUAUCGUUCACAUCUUAUCUCAGAAUAUUCCGCUCCAAUAUGGUUGACCAAUCCAUAAGUGGGAUCGGUGCAAGGGGCACGAUGGUGAUACGUACUGUCUGGAAGUUCUCGACAAGGAAUCAGUAAAAGAUUAGGAUGCUUUACUGCUGAUAUUAUCAGCAGGUGGCAGGCAUUCCACUUAAAGUUAAAGUUUAUAGCUUUAGCUUUCACUAAGCUCUAGAACUUUCCAAACAGUUCAAACAAAACACUGGAAUUGGAAUUUUUCCCUGUUGAAGCUAAGAUUAAAACAUUGAAAUUUUCCUUUGGUUGCUAACUGUGUAUCUAACAUUUGCACUUCAGAUACAUACCUUUGCCAUUAUCGCAAGUGUUCGCUGGCGACGUCGCUUUGUAAUAGAUAUUUUGAAUGGUAAUAAACCAGAGCACAUCGAAUAGAAUCGCGUGAGCUUCGACUAGCUGUUCAUUCUUUAUUAGUGGCACAUCCACAUCCCGAAAUAAAACAGAAAAGGUUCCGCGCGGUUGGGGGGAAACUGGCAGAAGUGACGCAACCUUCGGGUAAUUUUACAUCAGUCUGAGCCGCGAUGGGUGAUAAACCCAGCAGACUGGUUGAGAUAGGAACCACACGUUCUAUUCCCACCCACAUAACACCCAGCAGGGAAGCCCAUUCAUAACCGAUAAGAGUUAUGCCUGCGAGUUGGCCUGAAACUCAACCCAAUCCCCCAGAAGCAAUCCCAUUGACCCUGGGGCGUCCGUGCUGCACCCAUGGAUAAUUUAUUCAAAGUGCUCUUAGCCCAGUUCGGAUGAAACGGGGCGUGGCAGGGACAGGGGCUGGGGCUGGGGCAUGGUUCCUUGGAAGGCCAUUGUCAGGGCUGAGGAUAAGUGGGCAACUGGGCGCCACAUUGUUUGUCGCCUCCAUUGUUCCAUGAAGCUCACAUCCUUGACAUUGACUCUGAAUGCAGCCAAAAGGCAAAGCCUUCACUUUUCCAUUCGACAUGCAUGUAUGCAGGUUCUAUUAUAUUCUAUAGUUAAAAACAAAAAUUGAAUUGAAGGAAAAGAAAAAGGACACUUUGAUUAUCUUUUGCUUGAACUUGCACAGAGUGAGAAUAUAAAUAUCAGAAUGACUAACUUCAAUUCUACAACUUAGAAUAUUGGUCAUACACGUUUCACUUCGAUAAACUUUAAAAUGAGUUUCCUUUUCAGGGUAAGUAUAAAAACGGCAGUAAAAUACAAAACACGUGUGGUACUAAAACAUCUUUAGACAUUUAUUAAAUAAUUUAUUUCGGUUUUUUUAAACGCUCCACAGCAUUUGAUGUGCCGUUCUCAAAUUCAUAUUUAAUCGUCUUCUCUGGCAAGUUUGGCAAAAUGUUUUUUUUUAGGGGCGAGGAAAAUUGUCAGUCGGCAAAUAUAUGACUAUUUUAAUUUUGUGUUUGUAUAUUUUUUGAGGCUUGUUCCGCUGACAGCCAAAUCAAGCAAGAUGCAGACGUGCCGCUGUAUUACUCAUCCGGUUUCCUCUAGCGAAGCCAAUUGGGAUGACAGGCGAAGGGGAAGCUGUCACUCAGGGAAAUCAGGGGUUUAGAUGAUGAAAAUGAAAUGAUCAUGGGGGUGGUGGAUCAGAUAGGCCCAAUCAGUGUCAAUCACGCGGAACACGGUAUAAAUUGAGUUAUGAAUAGCCAUACACGAUACACGAAUCACGAGUAAUUUGUCCAUGUGAUGGAUGGCUGAGCAACGACCUUGGCCACAACCUCAGCCUCUCGCAAGGAUACUGGGCGCUGGGAUAACAGCGCACCUGCUCCCACCACCUACUAAUCGAUUUUUUUGCGACCAUGAGAGGAGCAAGGACAAAAACAUGGCAAUGAAUCUGCAUUAGUGGAUUAAACGUGGAGUGCAAGAAUUGUCAAUUAGCCCGGAGGUAUCCACGAAUGUGUAUCUAUAAAUUUACAUAAAUAGUGGGUGUAUAUGCGUGCCAGGCAGCGAUUUGAGCACCUGUUAGGUGCGAUUGUUGGAUAGCGGGAUUCGAAAGGGGUUUUUUCAAGUGGUUUCAUGAUCGUUCCGCUUCGUGCCUGCCUGUCUGGUGCACUCCUAUUGAUUUCAGCAUUAUUGAAAACACGCGCCAGUCGCUCGUGUGUCUCCGAGCCUAAUUGAAAUCAGCCGGCAAACAGUAAACAACUGAAACAACUGAAACAACAAUUAAAAUUGCCCGACAACAAUCAGCAGAUUGUUCGUCAUUCGUCGUUUACCUACUAGUUUAACCAAUAAUGAAUCACAAGCAGCGAAUCAAGUAAGUUAGUCAAGUGGUUAGUCAGCGAUCCAUUUGAUUUUCAUUAAUUAAAACCAAUUCUAUAAUAUCUGAAGCUUUUAGUAAUUGUUUUGAUAACCUAAUGAAUCAUUCAGAGUAUCAUUUACUUUUAAGUAAAAUGACACCCAAAAAUAAUUAUGCAAUUCGUUCAAUUGGAUGGAAAAGAAACUGAUAAGAAAUUUCAAAGCAAAUUAAAGAUUGUCAACAACUUUAGGGAUUAUAUAAGUAAAACCCUUUUUUAUAUAGGCUUCAUUUUUUGUUAAAAAAAUCUUUAGUUCAAAUAAAUCACAAAUUAACAAAUGGUAUAUUAACAGGCUGUAAAAUAAAUAUUCCUCGUAAAUUUCAAGCAUAUUUCAUUCAUAUGUAUAUUGCACAGCUUAUAUCUGACGAGAAAAAAUACAUAGUUGGCAUUUUCUGGCAGGCGAAAAGUGAAUUUUAUUAAUUUUUCUUUGCAUGAAAAAUGCUUAUUUUUGGCAGCCAGGCGUUGACAUGGUAAUUCAGCAUUUGAUAUCCUCCCGAGACUCUUUUAACCGACCCUGACAUUGAAUGCCGCAUAUAGAAAGUAAGAUCGCCAAAAAGUAUUUCAAUCAAUGCAUUGUCUGCUCUUCUGUGGGAGUAGAAUUCCCCCAAUUCUAAACAUUUUACUCUUCGUACUAUGCCAAGUAUUUCCCGCUGUAUCUAUGUAUCUACACGUCGAAUGAAAUGAACUGCAAGGAGGAUUUGUAUCUGGGGGAGACGUCAUCGGUUACCGGAACAAUAGCCACGAGCUUCUGCCGUGAUCUCCGCCGGCGCUUGGAUGAGCAACUCGGCGGCGGGUACACUUCCGCAUUGAUGGGUGGGGCAGUUUGAUAGGGGGAGGGUCUGUCUGGCACCCGGGAAAGCCAAAAAGCACCCGGGAAUGUAUGUUUUCAGGGCCAAUCUAACAGUAAAACAGUCGUGUGGAUACAGCACUUCCAACCCAACCUGGGACGACGAUGGCGACUCACUCUGGCACUGACCACACCAAAUCAAGAAUCAUUCGCAGCUGUUGUGGGUGGGCAUCAUAUUUGUGGCCAGCUGCCAAAUCUCAAAUGCCGGCACUCAGCGAUAAAUACGAUAUAUGUUUCGCAUGUGUUCAGCGAAAAAAGAAUAAUUUCUGAAUUCAAUGAAAAUCCCUUUGGCCAAUGCCCCGCUUGCAUCUACAUAGCUUUUAAGACUGUGCUCCCAAAAAUUCACCAAAAAAUGCGACCAAAAAUGAUCACAGAUUAUACAAAAAAUUUGCAAAAAAAUGGCAAAAGUGCAAAUAGAAACAAGGCACUACACUUUCAUCUUUUUCCUUCACCCACUUUAAGGGGUAUAUGCCGACCAAAUCGAGCCUUGAGACUUGGGAAAUUCUUUGCUCGAGCAGCCAGCCAAAAAAAGCUCCCCAACGAAUUCAUGACCAAAUGGGUGCAAUGUCAAUAGCACACGCCCCAAUCUCAGAAGAAGAGGAAGAUGCUCUAGAAGCCCCCAGCUCGUGUGCCCCCCAUUAAAAAGAUUCUUUUACACUUGCCUCCCUUUUGGCCGAACAUAUGCAAAUUCGUUUUUUGAAGUGCCGAAAUCGGAAAUGAAAAUGAAAUUGCGCCGCAAAAAGCAGCUGCGCUAGGGCUAAAAAUAUUGUCAAUUCUAUAAUUGUACAAAUUAUAUAAAUAUUUGUAGAGUGCUCUUCUGGCCGAUUUGUUUGGCCAAUUGUUUGUAUUUUUCGCCGACCAAAUGUGGAUCAAGUUUAUGUUAUUACCAACGAUAAGGGAAAGAGUUUACCCAAGCUCAAGGUGGCUACGUUUGGCGAGGAGGCAAACACCUUAUUUGUCUGGUCGCAAUUUUUAAGUAAAUUCCGUGAGAAAACACAAGUGUGCAGAGCAUUGCUGCGUCGAAAAAUGGAAACAAAUUGCGGUUUAACGUGUGAAUUGGAUGUUCGUGACGGAAUGAAAGCGCCAAAACAUUAAUUUUUAGCUAUCUGAAGACGUAAUACUCUUUAUAUUUUUAUAAAAUUAUUUUUUUAUGUUUAAACAAGCAUUUUGUAAUAAAUGGAAGAAAGAAAGCUCAAAACAAACAGGAAAAUUUUAAAUGAAUAAUAUGGAUUGACUACAAAGGAAUAUAAGUAACAUUCAUUUUAUGAUUAACGAUAUAUUUAAUGGUGUCGUUACAAUAAACUAUAAUUUUGCAAUGGAGAAAUCACUUAAAAGGCGGUUUAAGAGUAAACUCUUUGCCCUAAAGCAAAUUUCUCUGGAAUGCUCAUAAAUGUUUACGUUAAAAUCCGAAGUAGGCAUUUUACAGGCCUCCUUUGUUAUGGAUAACUUGUUGUUGUUAUUGAACAUUUUACGCAGAAUUGUAAAAUAACACAAACAAAAUUAAAAUACCAGUAGACGGGCACAAAAUUUGUUAAUAAUCGGCCCUAAGAACGAGUAUUAUUUGCGAAGCGGAGAGCGCAAAAUAAACAAUUUUGUUAUUCUUUUCAAUUGCGUCAAUGCGGGGUCUUAGAAUUCUGAGCAGGUGGAAAGGUGGAAAAGGGGUUGUUUAUGGGCUGGCUAGCAAGUGGGCCAAGAAGUGUUGGCCCUCUUAAAUCUGGCGUAAGUUAUUAGCACACAACACAAAUUCGCCCUGUCUGGGGAAACUUUGAACGGAAAAGCGCGAUCACCGAUCGAUCGAUCAUUAUCCGCGAUCAGAUCAGUAAACAAUAUUUGAUUCUCUAAACAACACUUAAUUUCGCUUUCAUUUUCUUACGCCAUUUGUGCGGCUGUCGUUGUUUUCGAUUUUUGUUUACUCAGUCGUCGGUUUAAUGACACAAACAGAGAAGAAAACUUGUUAAGUCAACGAAGCUCACAGUGGGUAAGCUCGCAAUUCAUGAAAUACAAUCCUUUCCAGCUCACUUGAGUUUUAAACAGACAUUUCCUUAUGGCCUCUUUAAUUUACGUUAACUAGAACCAGAAUUUGAGCCAUUGAUUUGGGUAUUUCAAUUUGUUUUUUUUUCAAAAAUGUAUUAUUGAAUGUUUUCGUAAGCACACAAGCGGCGCCAUAUUAAUAAUUCAAAUUGAACUGCGCCUUCGAUGUACUCGCUUAUUCCCAAUUGCGUUUUAAUAUCACUGCCCCAAAAGUGGGAUGGGAUUGGAAAUACCCAGCACAGCCAUCAGAAAGGUCUUAACAAAAUUGGCUUUCUUUGCGGCGAAAUUUCAGCCUUGGCGUUCGGUGACGUCGUGGAUUUCAAUUCAAGAAUCUGAAUAAAUGCCAGAACAGCCGAGUAUUAACACAAAAUAUUGUGCAUUAAUGAGCUGUAUUGUGUGUACUUUGUGACUCGUUUGUAGGCGAAUCAAAGGAAUUUAUUAUGAGCAAUUAUUUUGAUCCCCGCCCCUCUUCACGAACCCCUCGCCUGUGCCAAAUCAAUUAAAUUUGAAAUGGAUGACCAACUGUUGGGAGCCAACAGUCGCCGGUUUUCCGUUCGAUAGUGCGCGAUCCAAAAAUAGAUACUUUUGAAAUAUGCUUUUUUUAAAACAUUCUUCCCAUUGAUUUCAAAUAUUUGACAUUUUUUCUGUUAUAAGAAAAUAUGAGAGACUAGUAAAUAAAAUAAAAGGAAAUACUUUUUUGGAGUCCUAAAUGAUAUAUUUUUACAGGAAUUUCUCUAUUCUCAAUAAUUUAUUCGUUUUACCCCACGACAUUUAUUUUGACAUUUAUUUGGCUGCGUGGCCAAGUUUUAUUUAGAUGGCUCAAAGUGCAAGGACUUUUCCAGCCAAGCGUGAAAGCACAUGUCAUUUAAGAUGAAGAAAAUAUUAAAUGCAAUGAAAAUAAAUCUGAAUGUGAAGAAGAUAUUUAUGCAUAGCUAUAGUCCAUUUGAAUCUAGCUUUAUUUACGCUGCCCGAAUCGAACAAUGAAAAAUCGAUGAAUCUGAAAAAUCAAAGUAUAAGCUUUAUAAUUAAUUCAUGCACCGAUUUGGGGCAAGCAUCAGAUUUUCAUACAGCUGGCUGGAAAAUGGGGGGCGGCAAGUAGGACUGCGUCAUAUUUGUAAGCGGAAAACCAAACCUUUAUCUUAUCUUGCGAAACGCGACUGACCGCCAUAUACAAAUAAUCUGAACAAAACAAAUAAACGGUUGGCGAUUUUGCUGUCACAAUGUUAUUCCCAUUGAUUAUUUUCGCGGCUUAUUUGCUAAUUAAUUAACAAUUUCUUGUGACAGCCGGAGACUUCAGAUUGCGAUCAGAAAUCCGCUUAUUAGCUGGUCACUGGUUUUAUAGGUAAUAUAAAAAUAUACCUAAAACACACUAAUAAGCAUUUACAGCUUUACAUAAUCAGUAUGGGAAUUGUACUAAUGAAUGGCUGCAGUUAUCCAGAUACUCCCCACAAGCGGAUGAACCCGACACGUGGCACUUGGGAAUCAAUAGACUAGACCUUGGCUUGAUUGUUGUUUUCUUUCGAUCAAUUUUGCUUGGGUUCUGUUUUUUCCGGUCUUCUGGCGAAGCAAUUGAAUAACAUGACAACCGAACCAGCGAAUUGGAUUACACGCUUAAAAUAAAUAUUACCGACCAGAGAGACGUAGACGUAGAAAAAUGGA